rnacentral:lncRNA from 1 species
UAGGUGACUGCAAGUACACCAGCCUUAGGGUGGCCGUGCUUCACUUGAAUAAUCCUGUUGACCUCAGUGGUAGAGAAUCAAAUUGACUGAAUUCCCCUGACGACAAUUCUUUUUCAGCCAGUCUUGUCUGACGCACCAUGCACUACCUAACUCUUAAAAGUCAGGAGAUUCUAAGUCAUAAGAAGCAUGUUGAAACAUGCACAGCUGUUCCUCCCUGCAGAAUAACCUGAAAACAUGCGAGAGAAGCCAGCGUUCAUCUCUGGUGUCAAAUGUUUGCAUUUCCACUGAAAUACAAUGCAGAAACCUGCAAUGCCCAGACACAGACUGAAGCACAAGAAAUGAGAAGGAAACUGAAGGAGCAAAAUGGGAAAAUGAAAGCACACUGCACUAGACUGCACUUUCUUUUCAGCCUUGAGAUGGUCCCACCUGCAGUGCUCCUGCUGUAUCCUGAAGAAUGGGAAGUGUGGGGAAAGGGAGAGAAUCAGAGAUAUUUUCCAAGUAUUGCAAGGAGGAAAAAAAAAAGCAGUCUUUGCUUUCAAUACACAUGUGCAUUGUGUUCCAUCAUAAAACCACAGACAACACCACAGCUCGAAGUUGCUCCUGAUGCACCACAGGCUCAUGUGGAUCAUUCAGAGACGAACUGUGUGAGAUGCAGAGGAAAGGCAGAGGGCUGCAUGCUUACAUAGGCUGUGCUCCAUCCAGCAGGCGAGCGCUGCAGGGCCAACAUGGGAAAGAUGAUGACCAGGCAUACUGCUGGAAAGGCAGCCACGCUGCUCCGUGUCUUGGAUGAACACUAUGUUAGGUACACUGCAGGUCCUGAUUUCAACACCUUGGCUCCCCUUCAGACCCAGCAUCCACACUGUACUCAGGCAGGGGCCAAGCAGCUCCCAGCCUGCUCCGAGCAUGGGGCACGAGGACACCGGUGGGUUCCGAAGUGUGCAGCAUCACAGCCCAAGUGCUUUCAGGAUCAGACCCUGCAGCAGCUGAUGCUUUGUCAGAUCAUCUAAGAAAUGCAAGUAGGAU